rnacentral:rRNA from 1 species
CCUACGGGGUGCAGCAGUGGGGAAUAUUGGACAAUGGGGGGAACCCUGAUCCAGCGACGCCGCGUGAGUGAAGAAGUAUUUCGGUAUGUAAAGCUCUAUCAGCAGGGAAGAAAAUGACGGUACCUGAUUAAGAAGCCCCGGCUAACUACGUGCCAGCAGCCGCGGUAAUACGUAGGGGGCAAGCGUUAUCCGGAUUUACUGGGUGUAAAGGGGGCGUAGACGGCAGCACAAGUCUGGAGUGAAAUGCCGGGGCUUAACCCCGGAACUGCUUUGGAAACUGUGCAGCUAGAGUGCAGGAGAGGUAAGUGGAAUUCCUAGUGUAGCGGUGAAAUGCGUAGAUAUUAGGAGGAACACCAGUGGCGAAGGCGGCUUACUGGACUGUAACUGACGUUGAGGCUCGAAAGCGUGGGGAGCAAACAGGAUUAGAUACCCUAGUAGUC